GAUGAACGCUGGCGGCGUGCCUAAUACAUGCAAGUCGAGCGAACGGACGAGAAGCUUGCUUCUCUGAUGUUAGCGGCGGACGGGUGAGUAACACGUGGAUAACCUACCUAUAAGACUGGGAUAACUUCGGGAAACCGGAGCUAAUACCGGAUGAUAUUUUGAACCGCAUGGUUCAAAAGUGAAAGACGGUCUUGCUGUCACUUAUAGAUGGAUCCGCGCUGCAUUAGCUAGUUGGUAAGGUAACGGCUUACCAAGGCAACGAUGCAUAGCCGACCUGAGAGGGUGAUCGGCCACACUGGAACUGAGACACGGUCCAGACUCCUACGGGAGGCAGCAGUAGGGAAUCUUCCACAAUGGGCGAAAGCCUGACGGAGCAACGCCGCGUGAGUGAUGAAGGUCUUCGGAUCGUAAAACUCUGUUAUUAGGGAAGAACAUAUGUGUAAGCAACUGUGCACAUCUUGACGGUACCUAAUCAGAAAGCCACGGCUAACUACGUG
rnacentral:rRNA from 1 species